rnacentral:rRNA from 1 species
AUGAACCAGCUCGUUAUUUGUUUGGUGGUUGGUUUGCAUACAUGUUCUUUUUCUGCAGAAAUAUGUUGUGGUUCCUUGCAAAGUAAAUAUGCUGUCAGAUUUACUUUUAUUUUGUUCCUAAUCAUUUUGUUCUAUAACUUGCAAAUGCUGGCCUUUCAUGUUUCUUCGCGAGCAUCAGGACAAAGAAGUUGGAAGAAGCAUAGUUCUAGCUCAUUGGAGCUAGUUUUGGGAGUAAUGAAGCACUUUAGGAUGAUCCUAUUUGUAUGUGUGUUAUAUGAUGUAGACUCUACACUUGUAGACUCAUGUGGUAGACUCAUGUGGUAG